rnacentral:rRNA from 1 species
UACGUAGGGGGCAAGCGUUGCCCGGAAUCAUUGGGCGUAAAGAGCGUGUAGGCGGUUCGGUAAGUCGGCUGUGAAAGUCCAGGGCUCAACCCUGGGAUGCCGGUCGAUACUGCCGGACUAGAGUUCGGAAGAGGCGAGUGGAAUUCCCGGUGUAGCGGUGAAAUGCGCAGAUAUCGGGAGGAACACCUAUGGCGAAGGCAGCUCGCUGGGACGUUACUGACGCUGAGACGCGAAAGCGUGGGGAGCAAACAGG